UACGUAGGGUGCAAGCGUUAAUCGGAAUUACUGGGCGUAAAGCGUGCGCAGGCGGUUCGGAAAGAAAGAUGUGAAAUCCCAGGGCUCAACCUUGGAACUGCAUUUUUAACUCCCGGACUAGAGUAUGUCAGAGGGGGGUGGAAUUCCACGUGUAGCAGUGAAAUGCGUAGAUAUCUGAAGGAACAUCAGUGGCGAAAGCGACUUCCUGGACCAGAACUGACGAUCAGGCACGAAAGCGUGGGGAGCAAACAGG
rnacentral:rRNA from 1 species